rnacentral:rRNA from 1 species
GAGUUUGAUCAUGGCUCAGGAUGAACGCUAGCGGCAGGCUUAACACAUGCAAGUCGAGGGGUAGGUUACUUCGGUAAUUGAGACCGGCGCACGGGUGCGUAACGCGUAUACAAUCUACCUUUUACAGAGGGAUAGCCCAGAGAAAUUUGGAUUAAUACCUCAUAGUAUUUUUGAAUGGCAUCAUUUGAUUAUUAAAGUUCCAACGGUAAAAGAUGAGUAUGCGUCCCAUUAGCUAGAUGGUAAGGUAACGGCUUACCACGGCAACGAUGGGUAGGGGUCCUGAGAGGGAGAUCCCCCACACUGGUACUGAGACACGGACCAGACUCCUACGGGAGGCAGCAGUGAGGAAUAUUGGACAAUGGGCGCAAGCCUGAUCCAGCCAUGCCGCGUGCAGGAAGAAGGUCCUAUGGAUUGUAAACUGCUUUUAUACAGGAAGAAACAACAUUACGUGUAAUGUCUUGACGGUACUGUAUGAAUAAGGACCGGCUAACUCCGUGCCAGCAGCCGCGGUAAUACGGAGGGUCCAAGCGUUAUCCGGAAUCAUUGGGUUUAAAGGGUCCGUAGGCGGCCAAAUAAGUCAGUGGUGAAAGCCCAUCGCUCAACGAUGGAACGGCCAUUGAUACUGUUUGGCUUGAUUAUU